GAUGAACGCUGGCGGCGUGCCUAAUACAUGCAAGUCGAACGAGGUGCUUUUGUAGCAAUACGAAAGUAUCCUAGUGGCGAACGGGUGAGUAACGCGUUGGUGACCUACCCCAAAGUGUGGGAUAACAGUCCGAAAGGAUUGCUAAUACCGCAUGUGGUCAUUGGAUUUAGAAACUGAUGACUAAAGGAGCAAUUCGCUUUGGGAGGGACCUGCGUCCCAUCAGCUAGUUGGUGAGGUAACGGCUCACCAAGGCGACGACGGGUAGGGGACCUGAGAGGGUGGCCCCCCACAAUGGAACUGAAACACGGUCCAUACACCUACGGGUGGCAGCAGUAGGGAAUAUUGCUCAAUGGGCGAAAGCCUGAAGCAGCAACGCCGCGUGUGCGAUGAAGGCCUUCGGGUCGUAAAGCACUUUUCUGCGAGAUGAGAAAGGACAGUAUCGUAGGAAUAAGUCUCGGCUAACUACGUGCCAGCCGCCGCGGUAAGAC
rnacentral:rRNA from 1 species